UUCCGGUUGAUCCUGCCGGACCUGACUGCUAUCGGAUUGAUACUAAGCCAUGCGAGUCAUUGUAGCAAUACAAGGCANACGGCUCAGUAACGCGUAGUCAAUCUACCCUAUGGACGGGAAUAACCUCGGGAAACUGAGUAUAAUGCCCGAUAGAACAUUAUGCCUGGAAUGGUUUAUGUUCCAAAUGAUUUAUCGCCGUAGGAUGGGACUGCGGCCUAUCAGUUUGUUGGUGAGGUAAUGGCCCACCAAGACUAUUACAGGUACGGGCUCUGAGAGGAGUGGCCCGGAGAUGGGUACUGAGACACGGACCCAGGCCCUAUGGGGCGCAGCAGGCGAGAAAACUUUGCAAUGUGCGAAAGCACGACAAGGUUAAUCCGAGUGUUUUCUGAUAAAGAAAUCUUUUGUUAGUUCUAAAACCACUAUCGAAUAAGGGGUGGGCAAGUUCUGGUGUCAGCCGCCGCGGUAAAACCAGCACCUCAAGUGGUCAGGAUGAUUAUUGGGCCUAAAGCAUCCGUAGCCGGCUAUGUUAGUUUUCGGUUAAAUCCAUGUGCUUAACACAUGGGCUGUCGAAAAUACUGCAUAGCUAGGGAGUGGGAGAGGUAGACGGUACUCGGGAGGAAGUGGUAAAAUGCUUUGAUCUCUCGAUGACCACCAGUGGCGAAGGCGGUCUACCAGAACACGUCCGACGGUGAGGGAUGAAAGCUGGGGGAGCAAACCGGAUUAGAUACCCGGGUAGUCCCAGCUGUAAACUAUGCAAACUCAGUGAUGCAUUGGCUUGUGGCCAAUGCAGUGUUGCAGAGAAGUCGUUAAGUUUGCCGCCUGGGAAGUACGUACGCAAGUAUGAAACUUAAAGGAAUUGGCGGGGGAGCACCACAAGGGGUGAAGCCUGCGGUUCAAUUGGAGUCAACGCCGGGA
rnacentral:rRNA from 1 species